rnacentral:rRNA from 1 species
UACAGAGGUCUCAAGCGUUGUUCGGAUUCAUUGGGCGUAAAGGGUGCGUAGGCGGCGCGGUAAGUCGGGUGUGAAAUCUUGGAGCUUAACUCCGAAACUGCAUUCGAUACUGCCGUGCUUGAGGACUGGAGAGGAGACUGGAAUUUACGGUGUAGCGGUGAAAUGCGUAGAUAUCGUAAGGAAGACCAGUGGCGAAGGCGGGUCUCUGGACAGUUCCUGACGCUGAGGCACGAAGGCCAGGGGGAGCAAAAAGGG